AAGCAUAUCAAUAAGCGGAGGAAAAGAAACCAACAGGGAUUGCCUUAGUAGCGGCGAGUGAAGCGGCAAUAGCUCAAAUUUGAAAUCUGGCGUCUUCGACGUCCGAGUUGUAAUUUGAAGAAGGUAUCUUUGGAAUUGGCUCUUGUCUAUGUUCCUUGGAACAGGACGUCACAGAGGGUGAGAAUCCCGUGCGAUGAGAUGCCCAAUUCCGUGUAAAGUUCCUUCGACGAGUCGAGUUGUUUGGGAAUGCAGCUCUAAGUGGGUGGUAAAUUCCAUCUAAAGCUAAAUAUUGGCGAGAGACCGAUAGCGAACAAGUACUGUGAAGGAAAGAUGAAAAGAACUUUGAAAAGAGAGUGAAAAAGUACGUGAAAUUGUUGAAAGGGAAGGGCUUGAGGUCAGACUUGGUUUUACCAGGCCAGCAUCAGUUUGGACGGCAGGAUAAUAGCUAAGAAAUGUGACUCCACCUCGGUGGUGUGUUAUAGUCUUGGUUGAUACUGCCUGUCUAGACUGAGGACUGCGUCUUGACUAGG
rnacentral:rRNA from 1 species